rnacentral:rRNA from 1 species
UAUGUGAUCGUCUCUCGCAUAUCAAUAAGCGGAGGAAAAGAAACUAACAAGGAUUCCCCUAGUAACGGCGAGUGAAGCGGGAAGAGCUCAAAUUUGAAAUCUUAAAGGGUUUCCCUUUACGAAUUGUAGCUUUAAAGAAGUGUUUUCUGUUGAGGUUUUGGUAAAAGUUCUUUGGAAUAGGACAUCAUAGAGGGUGAGAAUCCCGUAUUUGACCUUUACUUUCAACUUUGUGAUACACUUUCAAAGAGUCGGAUUGUUUGGGAAUGCAGUCCAAAAUGGGUGGUAAAUUUCAUCUAAAGCUAAAUAUUGGCGAGAGACCGAUAGCGAACAAGUACCGUGAGGGAAAGAUGAAAAGAACUUUGAAAAGAGAGUUAAACAGUACGUGAAAUUGUCAAAAGGGAAGUGUUUGACACCAGUGUUGUUUUUCUGAAAAUCAAUUAAAGAACUGUUUAUGCUAAGCUGUUUAGACUUUAUCAGCUAAUCUGUUUAGUUUUGAGCUUUUCUUUAAUGCACUUUUCAGUUAACAAGUCAACAUCAAUUUCUUUUGCUGUAAAAAAGCUUGAGGAAGGUGGCUUGAGAUUCGUCUUAAGUGUUUAUAGCCUCUUGCCUAUGCAGUCGGAGAGAUUGAGGUCUGCAGCGUAGAUCCUUCGGGGCUAAAUGCAUUUGUGCUAAGUUAUAGCAUUUUAUAGACAACUUGUUGACUAUGAUUUGUCUUGUAGCUUACUCGCUUAUGUUAUUUUACCUACGCUUAGGAUGUUGACUGAUAUGUAGUCGUA